GAUGAACGCUAGCGGCAGGCCUAACACAUGCAAGUCGAGGGAGAAGCCCUUCGGGGCGGAAACCGGCGCACGGGUGCGUAACGCGUAUGCAACCUACCUUUCACAGGGGGAUAGCCCGAAGAAAUUUGGAUUAAUACCCCAUAAUAUUAUUGGAUGGCAUCAUUUGAUAAUUAAAAUUACGAUGGUGAAAGAUGGGCAUGCGUCCUAUUAGCUAGUUGGAGUGGUAACGGCACCCCAAGGCUACGAUAGGUAGGGGUCCUGAGAGGGAGAUCCCCCACACUGGUACUGAGACAGGGACCAGACUCCUACGGGAGGCAGCAGUGAGGAAUAUUGGUCAAUGGUCGGAAGACUGAACCAGCCAUGCCGCGUGCAGGAAGAAUGCCUUAUGGGUUGUAAACUGCUUUUAUAUGGGAAGAAUAAGGAGUACGUGUACUUUGAUGACGGUACCAUAUGAAUAAGCAUCGGCUAA
rnacentral:rRNA from 1 species